AAAACACAAUGAUGAGCACAUACAGUAGUUCAGCAGAUGGACAGUGGUGAUUAGAGCUUGUCUUUCGCUCCUAUAUGAUGUGUUUU